rnacentral:rRNA from 1 species
AUUGAACGCUGGCGGCAGGCCUAACACAUGCAAGUCGAACGAGUGGCGGACGGGUGAGUAAUGUCUGGGAAACUGCCUGAUGGAGGGGGAUAACUACUGGAAACGGUAGCUAAUACCGCAUACCAUCAGCUGGGCCGAGAGGGGCUUAGCUUGGUCGUGGGGUAACGGCUCACCAAGGCGACGAUCCCUAGCUGGUCUGAGAGGAUGACCAGCCACACUGGAACGGAGACACGGUCCAGACUCUGCCGGGAGGCAGCAGUGGGGAAUAUUGGACAGUGGGCGCAAGCCUGAUGCAGCCAUGCCGCGUGUAUGAAGAGGGCCUUCGGUUUGUAAAGUACUUUCAGCGGGGAGGCGUUACCCGCAGAAGAAGCACCGGCUAACUCCGUGCCAGCAGCCGCGGUAAUAC